rnacentral:precursor_RNA from 9 species
ACUAGAACGGCGAACUCUUCCGUUCACGUACCUGGUUGUAGCCGAGCCAAAUUGUGUUUAGUGUAUCAAUUGGUCCCCUUCAACCAGCUACGAAAAGCGCGAAUAUCAGAACCGUUCUUA